rnacentral:rRNA from 1 species
UGGGGAAUAUUGCACAAUGGGCGCAAGCCUGAUGCAGCGACGCCGCGUGAGGGAUGGAGGCCUUCGGGUUGUAAACCUCUUUCGCCAGUGAAGCAGGCCUGCUCCUUGUGGGUGGGUUGACGGUAGCUGGAUAAGAAGCGCCGGCUAACUANGUGCCAGCAGCCGCGGUAAUACGUAGGGCGCGAGCGUUGUCCGGAAUUAUUGGGCGUAAAGAGCUCGUAGGCGGCUGGUCGCGUCUGUCGUGAAAUCCUCUGGCUUAACUGGGGGCUUGCGGUGGGUACGGGCCGGCUUGAGUGCGGUAGGGGAGACUGGAACUCCUGGUGUAGCGGUGGAAUGCGCAGAUAUCAGGAAGAACACCGGUGGCGAAGGCGGGUCUCUGGGCCGUUACUGACGCUGAGGAGCGAAAGCGUGGGGAGCGAAACAGGAUUAGAUACCCUGGUAGUCCACGCCGUAAACGUUGGGCA